CACCUCCACCACCUUACGAGUACAAGUCGCCACCCCCUCCUUCUCCCUCUCCACCACCGCCUUAUGAGUACAAGUCGCCACCACCUCCUUCUCCAUCUCCUCCACCGCCAUAUGAAUACAAGUCGCCACCACCUCCUUCACCAUCACCUCCACCACCAUACUACUACUCUUCCCCACCACCUCCGAAGAAGUCACCUCCACCACCAUACUACUACUCCUCUCCACCACCACCCGAGAAGUCACCUCCUCCACCAUACUACUACUCCUCUCCUCCACCCCCGGAGAAGUCACCUCCACCACCUUACUACUACUCUUCUCCACCACCCCCCAAGAAGUCACCUCCACCUCCAUACUACUAUAGUUCUCCACCACCACCCGAGAAGUCACCUCCACCACCUUACUACUAUUCUUCUCCUCCACCACCCGAGAAGUCACCUCCACCACCAUACUACUACUACUCUCCUCCACCACCCAAGAAGUCACCUCCACCUCCAUACUACUACAGUUCUCCACCACCACCAGUUAAGUAUCCUCCUCCACCAUACUACUACCCUUCUCCACCACCACCCAAGGAAUCACCUCCUCCACCAUACUACUACUCCUCACCACCACCACCCAAGAAGUCACCCCCACCCCCAUACUACUACUCCUCUCCUCCACCACCAGUUAAAUAUCCUCCUCCACCAUACUACUACUCUUCCCCACCACCACCAGUUAAGUACCCUCCUCCACCAUAUUACUACAC
rnacentral:lncRNA from 1 species